GGCAUGAACCCUAAGAUCCAGUACUCUUUGGAAACAGAAACUGAUUUGUUCUCCGUCACCAAGGAAGGAUUCCUCAUCGCCAGGGGCAAGCAGCCAAAGCCACCUCACACUCACCAGUUGGAGGUAUUGGCCACUGAUUUGGAGUCAGGGGAUGUGGCCAAGGCAUCCAUCAGAGUGACGGUUCUUCACCGUGGUCAGCCAGUGCCCCACAGCCCACUGGGUGAGGACGCCAUGUAUGGGCAGGGGUCGCCCGGGCGCGCGGUGGGCGUGAUGGGUCUGUGUCUGAUCCUGCUGGGCGCCGCGGUGUGUGUGCUCGUCCGCUGGCUCAGACGCAGGAAGAGAAGACAGGACCCUGCAGACCGCGCCAGUGUGGCACAGGGAAAACACCCCAAUGUGAGCUUGCGGUGGUUCCAGUUGGUGAACCACGGCCGGCCGGUCCCGCUGCUGGACGAGGUCUCGCUCCACAGCGAGGCGCUGAGCGGCGGCUUCGACGCGUCCCAGUCCGUGCUGCACGGCAAGGCGGGCGUGUACACCGUCACCGAGAGAGUCUCCAGCUCAGCCACACCCACCUCCGCGCCCGGGCCCGCCUCCUCCGCCAUACGCUCCAAUGGGAAGGCCUCCGACAAGCCCGUGAACAAAUCUGUGUCCUUCCAUCACGAGGUCAUCAUCAGGGCUGGCAAUGCUGGAGGGGUUCACACACACCCUGAGCGGGCGGCGGCAGACACAACCCUGACACACACACCCCUGCUCCCCACGUCUACAGGAAGCGCAGCAGAAGACACACACACGGCGGAGGAUCCAGGCCUGGGUUUAGACACCACCACCAACUCCAGUCUGGCAAGUCAAACCAUAGAUCAAGAACACACAAUCAAACUGGAUGAAUCGAUCACGAACGCAAGACAGGUGAGGUUUGAAGCUGGAGCUACUCUUGAGCAGUCCAGUCCAAACCAAUCUACUGUUGAGCAGUCCAGUCCAAACCAAUCUACUCAUGACCAGUCCAGACCCGACACGACGAACCCAGAUGGAUCAAAUCCAGCUACCGGUGAAGGAGAGCCUGAAGUAGUAGAGCCACCCAAGCAGCCUGAUUCUCCACCGCGCACGAGCCAAGACCAGCGAGACGCUCCGGAAACACAGAUGGAAAGGAUAGAGGAGGAGUGUAAUCCAGACGAGGCGAUGGCUGAUGAUCCACAGCGCAGUGACUCACGCAGGGACGAUCAAACCCUCCCUUCUGCACGCGCUCCAGAGGAGGUGAUGGCUGAUGAUCCACAGCGCACGGACGAUCAAACCCUCCCUUCUGCACGCGCUCCAGACGAGGUGAUGACGGAUGAUCCACAGCGCACGGACGAUCAAACCCUCCCUUGUGCACGCGCUCCAGACGAGGUGAUGGCUGAUGAUCCACAGCGCAGGGACAAUCAAACCCUCCCUUCUGCACGCGCUCCAGGAGCCCAAGGGGAAGGCGCUAACCCAGAGAUGCAACACAAAGAUGGUGUGGAGAAGACGUGUGGAGAAAUCCCCAAACCUUCAGCCGAGCUGGCUGCCCCAAGCCCCCCCACUGCAGAGGCACACAGCGGAGACGACACACUCACACACCCCGACACACUCACACACCCCGACACACCCAGUCGAGACGACACACUCACACACCCCGACACACCCAGCACCGGCCUCAGCUCUGAGGAGAAAACUACUGAUGCUGUCAGUCAAGGCACAGUUAACACAGACGACAUCACAGUUAACACAGACGCCAUCACAGUUAACACAGACGCCAUCACAGUUAACACAGACGCCAUCACAGAGAGGGCGGACGCCAGUCUGGAUGCGGGCGUAUCAGACAGAAGCACCCAGGGUGGUGAAAUAACAGCGUCCACAGAGCCAGGAGCUGAUGAGACAGGCGUGGCAAACACAAACACGCCACCUACAGGCCAAGACAGGAAAACCACUAACAUGCCAAUGCCAGAUAUCGUAAUCACCGGUAGCACAGACGCGGAAGAUGACGCAGACAUGGAGAAGUUCACAAAGAUCACCAACCUUGAUGAUGACGUAACAGACACGACCGGUACAGAUGGUCAGUGAACAGACUACUCAGGCCCCGUCAGUGAGAGACACACACACACACACACACACACACACACACACACAUAUACACUCGCCCCACCCCACCCACGAUGUAAAAGACUGAGCUCUGACUUCCAGAAGGAGGAAGGAGAGGACGAGUCCGCAAACACACACACACACACACACACACACACACACACACACAGGACGAGUCUGCUAUCACAUGCAGCUGGUGAAAAGGCCAGCUGCCUUUGCGCCGAACGACAAUAGAAAUGGAAUGGUGUGUGUUACCGUUAUACAAUAAAAAUGGAAUGGUGUGUGUUACCGUUAUACA
rnacentral:lncRNA from 1 species